UGGGGAAUUUUGCACAAUGGGCGCAAGCCUGAUGCAGCGACGCCGCGUGAGGGAUGAAGGCCUUCGGGUUGUAAACCUUUUUCGCUCAUGGUCAAGCCGCAGCUUUGGGUUGUGGUGAGGGUAGUGGGUAAAGAAGCGCCGGCUAACUACGUGCCAGCAGCCGCGGUAAUACGUAGGUCCCGAGCGUUGUCCGGAUUUAUUGGGCGUAAAGCGAGCGCAGGCGGUUAGAAAAGUCUGAAGUGAAAGGCAGUGGCUCAACCAUUGUAGGCUUUGGAAACUGUUUAACUUGAGUGCAGAAGGGGAGAGUGGAAUUCCAUGUGUAGCGGUGAAAUGCGUAGAUAUAUGGAGGAACACCGGUGGCGAAAGCGGCUCUCUGGUCUGUAACUGACGCUGAGGAGCGAAAGCGUGGGGAGCGAACAGG
rnacentral:rRNA from 1 species